rnacentral:rRNA from 1 species
AUGCCCGGCCGCUCGCCGGCGCCCACCGGCCGCCGCCGGCGCCGCAGCCGAGGCUGGAGCACUCCAUCUAAGGCCUCCCGUCGCCCGCAGUCCCCGACCCCUUCCUCCGCGCCGCCCCUUGCCCAGCAGCCGCCCCUGCCCCCUGGCACCGAGGUCGAGGUCCGCGUCGACGACGACGGCUUCCACGGCUCCUGGUUCGAGGCCAAAGUCGACAGCUUCCUCCCUGCGCGCGGCCGCGGCUCCCGGGCCCGCUACACCGUCACCUACUCCCAUCUCCUCUCCGACGACUCGGGCGGCACCCUCGUCGAACCCUUCGCCCCCUCCCACAUCCGCCCCCACCCCCCUCCUCUCUCCAACCCGGAGCCGCUCUGCCUCCACGACAUCGUCGAGGCCUUCCACAACGACGGAUGGUGGUCCGGAAUCCUUCUCGCCACUGACCCCCUCACCGCCGCCUUCCCCAUCACCCGCGAGGUCAUAACCUUCCAGGAUCCCCACCACGUCCGCCCUCGCCGCGACUACGUCGACGGCCAGUGGCUCCCGUCCAAGGUCGCCAUUUCUGUCCAGCCCAAGCGGGCGGUUAGGGUUUACGCCGUUGGGGACAAGGUGGAGGUGGUCAGGGACCGGGACUUGUAUGGCUACUCGUGGUUCCCCGCCACCGUGGCCAAGGUCAUUGAUAGGCUGAGUUACCUCGUGGAGUACUCCGAUCUGGAGGAAGAGGUGGGUGGGGGGAAGGCCAUGGAGUACCUGCAUUGCCUCUUCAUCAGACCAGACGUGGAGCACUCUCCGCGGGAGAGUGAGUUCCGCCUUGGUCCUGGUGCCGCAGUGGAGGUGUACUGUGACGGCGCUUGGUCACCAGGGGUGGUGCAAAGGGCUGUUGGAGAGGGUGAGUACGAGGUUAGCAUCGAUGGAAAGGAGGGAGAGCUGUUGCUGAAGAAGGUGCCAGAGUUGCUCAAGCCUCAAUACAAGUGGAAUGGCAAGCAUUGGAGGAUUGUAAGUCCUAAGAGACAAGGUAAUAGGCGGCAGUCUGUAUCUGGAAAACGUCCAAGCUCAGCUGUUGAGGUGGCAUCCAAUGAUGAUGGAAAUAGCCAUCAUACACAAUCUCCAGCCACAAAAAGGUCAAGGAAAGAACUGCCACGAAAAAAACUUGAAGAGUUAACUGAAGGUUCUGAACAUGUGUUGGAGUCCGAGAUGGACACUAGUUUAUCUGCACUACGCAAGUCACUAGCAAGCAAUUUUUCUCCAAAAACCUGUUCUCCGCGAUCUAGAAAAAAUAACUUUCAAGCGAUUUCACGAAGGAUAGUGGAUUCUUGUACAGUGCCGAUGAAGGGGCUUGGGGUUUAUCAUGCUUCCUCAGAAAAUCCAACACCUCAGAAUGAAUCAAGAGCAGAUGGUAUUGUGGAAGUUGUUGUUCAAGAAGCCCCGCUCGACAUGAUGCUUUCAAAUGGUCAGCUUAAUUCACCUGUCUGUGGAACAAUUGCUGAUGAAGCCCAUGAUAUGCUUUUGACUGCAGGAUUAAGAAAACAGAAAAUGGAUUCCUCUUGCAUAAAUAAUGCUGUCCAGAAACCACAGGAAAGCCCGCUUGAUGUCCAGCCACUCCAGGUAAAGAAAUUUAGUGCCAAGCAUAAAGGUGGGGAAAAAGGCGGGGAAACACACCCUAUUCAAGCACUUGAGGGAAACAGUGACACUUUUGAUUACAUUCAGUUGAAAGGUAACAGCAAUAGCUCUUGUAAGGAAAUUAUUUGUGCUUUGACUGCUUCGACGUGCAAUGCCCCUUCACCCCUGGAUAAGCAGAUGAGAGCACGUGAUGCAGUGUCAAGAGGGGCUGAUAGUAGCUCAAACACAAAGGUUUUUGCCUCCAAGAAAUCAGCUGAAAAGAAAGGCUUCAAAGGUUUGUCUAACCCAGAUAGCUCAGGGCAUGGAACUAGGACUGUCCAGAAGAGAAGUGCAAAGAAAGUGGCAGGGCGACAGAAAGAAUGCUUCGUGGAAAGACAAGUGGACAGCAGAGGACCUCAUACUCAUCAGCAGCAGCAGCUCAACAGGGAGGAAAAAGUUAACGUAAAUGACGGAACAAAUCAGGAACUGUUUCCUUUAAUACCCCCAGGCUUCAAAUCAAUCUGUAACGGGCAAGGUUUACCACCCCCAGGCUUCAAAUCAAUCUGUAAUGGGCAAGGUUUACUCGAUGGGGAAAAAGUGGAUGAGAGACCAAUUCAACUACAUAUUCAGGAUGCUGGGGGCUCACAGUGCACCAUGGAAAACACUGCAUUAAGGAGCUGCUCAGCUGUUGGGACUUCUCUGCACCCACCUUUUCUUUCAUGUCAGAUCUCUGGUGAGCGUUUUCCGUUCAUCAAGACCUCAUCCAUAUGGCAUCAAAUUGAACCAAUGGAAGUGUUUCGGAAGGUACCACAGGAACCCCAUUUCCUUCCACUUCAGCAAUUUAUGCCGGAACUGCGUGAAGGAAUGGCUAUAGGUCUAAUGGUGACAUAUGCCAGCUUAGUUGAAAGUGUCAAGCGAUCAUGCAUAGAAGAUAAUAUUGAGUUAUUUGAAAGAAAGAUCAACGCACUUGCCCAUUUAGAGGAAAAUGGAUUUGAUGUUAAGUUGCUGCAGCACAGUCUGAUGAAAUUGCUUGAGGCCAAAUGGGAGCACACCAAGCAUCUUGGACAUCUGGACGAGUUGAAAGAAUUGGUACCGCGGAAGGAGUCUGCCAUGUCUCAUAAGCAUGCAUUACUUGUUGAAAAGGAAGGAGCUAUAUUUCAACUUGAGCAGAAACUUGAGUGCCUUCGUGGUGAAGCAGAGCAGAUUGCAAGGGAGACAAAAGAUGAAGAUGCAGAGCUCUUGAGGCUGAAAGAGGGAGUUAACAUAGCUCAGGAAGCAUGUGUUAAUGUUGAAGUGCGGUUUCACGACAUUCUAGCCGACAUGCGUUCGAGACUGCAGCUUUCUGAGUGA